AGCCUGAACGCUGGCGGCGUGGCUAAGACAUGCAAGUCGCACGGAGGUAGCAAUACCUCAGUGGCGAACGGGUGAGUAAUGAAUCGCUAAUGUGCCCCGGACUCUGAGAUAGCUGGCCGAAAGGCCAGGUAAUAUCAGAUGAUAUAACCGAACCGCAUGGUUUGGUUCUCAAAGGUCCGCCGGUCUGGGAGCAGGCGAUUUCGUAUCAGCUAGUUGGUGAGGUAAUGGCUCACCAAGGCGGCGACGCGUAGCCGGACUGAGAGGUUGGCCGGCCACAUUGGGACUGAGACACUGCCCAGACCCCUACGGGGGGCUGCAGUAACGAAUCUUCCGCAAUGCACGCAAGUGUGACGGAGCGACGCCGCGUGUAGGACGAAGCCCUUCGGGGUGUAAACUACUGUCAGGGGUUAGAAGUUCUGAUCAACCCCAGAGGAAGGACGGCUAACUCUGUGCCAGCAGCCGC
rnacentral:rRNA from 1 species